CCUACGGGAGGCAGCAGUGGGGAAUAUUGCACAAUGGGCGAAAGCCUGAUGCAGCAACGCCGCGUGAAGGAAGAAGGGUUUCGGCUCGUAAACUUCUAUCAACAGGGACGCAAGAAAUGACGGUUCCUGAAUAAGAAGCCUCGGCUAACUACGUGCAAGCAGCCGCGGUAAUCCGGAGGGGGCAAGCGUUAUCCGGAAUUACUGGGUGUAAAGGGUGAGUAGGCGGCAUGGUAAGCCAGAUGUGAAAGCCUUGGGCUUAACCCGAGGAUUGCAUUUGGAACUUGCAGGCUAGAGUACAGGAGAGGAAAGCGGAAUUCGUGGUGUAGCGGUGAAAUGCGUAGAUAUAAGGAAGAACACCAGUGGCGAAGGCAGCUUUCUGGACUGAAACUGACGCGGAGGCACGAAAGCGUGGGGAGCGAACAGGAUUAGAUACCCCGGUAGUC
rnacentral:rRNA from 1 species